rnacentral:rRNA from 1 species
ACGAAGGGGGCUAGCGUUGUUCGGAAUUACUGGGCGUAAAGCGCGCGUAGGUGGCCAACUAAGUCGGACGUGAAAUCCCUCGGCUUAACCGGGGAACUGCGUCCGAUACUGGUUGGCUUGAGUUUGGGAGAGGGAUGCGGAAUUCCAGGUGUAGCGGUGAAAUGCGUAGAUAUCUGGAGGAACACCGGUGGCGAAGGCGCCCACCUGGCCUGCUACUGACGCUGAGGCGCGAAAGCUAGGGGAGCAAACGGGA